CGCCUCAUGGAAUCAGGCCUUAAGGCGGUUUUCCACUAGGCGAAAUUUUUCGACCGAAUCGAAAUUUCUCUUUGUUUCAUGAGCUCUCAAGCAGAACUAAUUGUAAAAAGACAAAGAGAAAUUUCGUUUCGGUCGAAAAAUUCCGCCUCAUGGAAUCAGGCCUUAAGGCGGUUUUCCACUAGGCG